CAUGCCUUCAGAAAGGAGCUACUCACUAUGGUUCUCCUUUCUUCUGAGAGCUGGACACUUGCUGGGAUGAUCUGCCUGCAGGAAGG
rnacentral:miRNA from 1 species